rnacentral:rRNA from 1 species
UACAGAGGGGGCAAGCGUUGUCCGGACUGACUGGGCGUAAAGAGCUCGUAGGCGGCUUGUCGCGUCGGAUGUGAAAGCCCGGGGCUUAACUCCGGGUCUGCAUUCGAUACGGGCAGGCUAGAGUUCGGUAGGGGAGAUCGGAAUUCCUGGUGUAGCGGUGAAAUGCGCAGAUAUCAGGAGGAACACCGGUGGCGAAGGCGGCUUGCUGGGCCAGUUCUGACGCUGAGGAGCGAAAGCGUGGGGAGCGAACAGGA